ACGCUGGCGGCACGCCUAAUACAUGCAAGUCGAACGAAGUAGCAAUACUUAGUGGCAGACGGGUGAGUAACAUGUAGGUAUCUUCCCUUUGGUGAGGAAUAACACGAGGAAACUUGUGCUAAUACCUCAUAAGUCUUUACGGAGAAAGCUUUAUGCGCCGAUGGAUGAGCCUGCACUUGAUUAGUUUGUUGGUAGGGUAAUGGCCUACCAAGACUAUGAUCAAUAGCUGAUUUGAGAGGAUGAUCAGCCACAUUGGGACUGAGACACGGCCCAAACUCCUACGGGAGGCAGCAGUAGGGAAUCUUGCACAAUGGGGGAAACCCUGAUGCAGCGAUGCCGCGUGAGUGAAGAAGGCCUUUGGGUUGUAAAGCUCUUUCGUCGGGGAAGAAAAUGACUGUACCCGAAUAAGAAGGUCCGGCUAACUUCGUGCCAGCAGCCGCGGUAAUACGAAGGGACCUAGCGUAGUUCGGAAUUACUGGGCUUAAAGAGUUCGUAGGUGGUUAAAAAAGUUGGUGGUGAAAUCCCAGAGCUUAACUCUGGAACUGCCAUCAAAACUUUUUAGCUAGAGUAUGAUAGAGGAAAGCAGAAUUUCUAGUGUAGAGGUGAAAUUCGUAGAUAUUAGAAAGAAUACCAAUUGCGAAGGCAGCUUUCUGGAUCAUUACUGACACUGAGGAACGAAAGCAUGGGUAGCGAAGAGGAUUAGAUACCCUCGUAGUCCAUGCCGUAAACGAUGUGUGUUAGACGUUGGAAAUUUAUUUUCUGUGUCGCAGCGAAAGCAAUAAACACACCGCCUGGGGAGUACGACCGCAAGGUUAAAACUCAAAUGAAUUGACGGGGACCCGCACAAGUAGUGGAGCAUGUGGUUUAAUUCGAAGAUACGCGCAGAACCUUACCAACACUUGACAUGUUCGUCGCGACUUUAAGAGAUUAAAGUUUUCGGUUCGGCCGGACGAAACACAGGUGCUGCAUGGCUGUCGUCAGCUCGUGUCGUGAGAUGUUGGGUUAAGUCCCGCAACGAGCGCAACCCUCACUUUUAGUUGCCAUCAUUUAGUUGGGCACUCUGAAAGAACUGCCAGUGAUAAGCUGGAGGAAGGUGGGGAUGACGUCAAGUCCUCAUGGCCCUUACGUGUUGGGCUACACACGUGCUGCAAUGGCAUUUACAAUAGGAAGCAAGACGGCGACGUUAAGCAAAUCCUAAAAAAAUGCCUCAGUUCGGAUUGUACUCUGCAACUCGAGUACAUGAAGCUGGAAUUACUAGUAAUCGCGGAUCAGCGCGCCGCGGUGAAUACGUUCCCGGGUCUUGUACACACCGCCCGUCACACCAUGGGAGUUGGUUCUACCUUAAGGCAAGGUUUAAUACCUUUGACCACGGUAUAGUCAGCUACUGGGGUGAAGUCGUAACAAGGUAGCCGUAGGGGAACCUGCGGCUGGAUUACCUCCUUUCU
rnacentral:rRNA from 1 species